ACCUGGGAUAGCUUAGUCGGGAUAGAGCGUGAGACUCAAUGUCAGGAUCAUGGGUUCGAGCCCCAGGUUGGGCA